rnacentral:rRNA from 1 species
GGAAUAUUGGACAAUGGGCGAAAGCCUGAUCCAGCCAUGCCGCGUGUGUGAAGAAGGUCUUCGGAUUGUAAAGCACUUUAAGUUGGGAGGAAGGGCAUUAACCUAAUACGUUGGUGUCUUGACGUUACCGACAGAAUAAGCACCGGCUAACUCUGUGCCAGCAGCCGCGGUAAUACAGAGGGUGCAAGCGUUAAUCGGAAUUACUGGGCGUAAAGCGCGCGUAGGUGGUUCGUUAAGUUGGAUGUGAAAUCCCCGGGCUCAACCUGGGAACUGCAUUCAAAACUGUCGAGCUAGAGUAUGGUAGAGGGUGGUGGAAUUUCCUGUGUAGCGGUGAAAUGCGUAGAUAUAGGAAGGAACACCAGUGGCGAAGGCGACCACCUGGACUGAUACUGACACUGAGGUGCGAAAGCGUGGGGAGCAAACAGGAUUAGAUACCCCAG